UUCAUGUGGUUUGAUAUGUUUGAAACAUAUAGCUCUUGCUCUUAUCUUUAGGUCAAACUCAAAAUGAUAUACAUAUUAUGCAGGGUGGAUCUGCAUCAAGUUGCCACAGUGCAAAUACAGAAUCAAUCUCAGAAAGUGAGAGGAUUUCGCGCCUAGAAGCUCAAUUUGCCAUCAUCAUGGGGAUUCAAGUAAGUUGCAUGUGGAAUAGUAGGUUGAAUUAGCUUAGGUGAUGAAGUAACUAAGUUCUUUAUUUAGCGUUUUACUAUUAUGUUAUUGGCGAUAUGUUAACAGGGAGCUGAAGCCUCGAUAUACACACAUCAAAACCAUUCAGCUGCGAGCAAACCUUCAACAAUAGUCAGCUGGUUCUUCACCAAAAAUAAUCAAGGAUAGUGAGGACAAGGGUGUCGACGAUGAAAUCAUUCAAACAAAACGUAAUAUUGGUAUUGGGAAGGUCCAUCUAUUGUUGUGGCUAAAGGAAAGGUCUUUCCUUCAAAGAGCUAUGAUAUGUUACACAAUGUCCGUAUGGUAAAGGAAAUGUGUGUGUACUUGUAGAAGUGGCAUUAAAGCCAAGAUUUUGUCUCCUGAUUCCUCCUAAAGGCGAAGAGUAAAUAUUCCUUGUAAGAGAGGCGGAGGUAUAUCGCGUUGCAUAGCCUAAAAAGUUGGUGAUAAAAGGAAGAAAGACCAGAAAAUUUAUGAAGCCUUAAAGGUUGUUCGGUUCACACAACUUGUGUAAUGACGCUGGAUGAAGUUUCCUUUCAUGUUCUUUUGGUCGAUGAAUGAGCUUUCCCCUUUUGGAACGGAAUUUGCAAAUUGAAAUUGCAUUUACAGUUUAUAGUAGAACUAUUAUUCAUGUAACGAGAUUUACAAUAGAACUAUUACAAUAGAAAUGUGUAAUUU